rnacentral:rRNA from 1 species
AGAGUUUGAUCCUGGCUCAGGACGAACGCUGACGGUGUGCUUUAGACAUGCAAGUCGAACGAGAAAGCCCUUCGGGGUGAGUACAGUGGCGAACGGGUGAGUAACACGUGGGUAACCUGCCCCUCGCAGGGGGACAACCGGGGGAAACCCCGGCUAAUACCCCGUACGCUCCGAGGGUCGCAUGGCCUUCGGAGGAAAGGUAGCUUCGGCCAUCCGGCGAGGGAUGGGCCCGCGGUCCAUUAGCUAGUUGGUGGGGUAACGGCCCACCAAGGCGACGAUGGAUAGCUGGUCUGAGAGGAUGAUCAGCCACACUGGGACUGAGACACGGCCCAGACUCCUACGGGAGGCAGCAGUCGGGAAUCUUGCGCAAUGGGCGAAAGCCUGACGCAGCAACACCGUGUGGGCGACGAAGGCCUUCGGGUCGUAAAGCCCUGUUGUUGGGGACGAAGGACGAAGGGUUAAUAGCCCCUAGUCUGACGGUACCCUUCGAGGAAGCCCCGGCUAACUACGUGCCAGCAGCCGCGGUAAUACGUAGGGGGCGAGCGUUGUCCGGAAUUAUUGGGCGUAAAGAGCGUGUAGGCGGUUCGGUAAGUCUGCUGUGAAAUCCUGGGGCUCAACCCCCGGGCGUGCAGCGGAUACUGCCGGGCUAGAGGGUGGUAGAGGCGAGUGGAAUUCCCGGUGUAGCGGUGAAAUGCGCAGAUAUCGGGAGGAACACCAGUAGCGAAGGCGGCUCGCUGGGCCAUUCCUGACGCUGAGACGCGAAAGCAUGGGGAGCGAACAGGAUUAGAUACCCUAGUAGUCC